rnacentral:tRNA from 1 species
GGCUUCCCAAGCCGAGGGUCGCGGGUUCAAAUCCCGUUUUCCGCUCCA